rnacentral:rRNA from 1 species
AUUGAACGCUGGCGGCAUGCCUUGCACAUGCAAGUCGAACGGUAACGCGGGGCAACCUGGCGACGAGUGGCGAACGGGUGAGUAAUGCAUCGGAACGUGCCCAGUAGUGGGGGAUAGCCCGGCGAAAGCCGGAUUAAUACCGCAUACGACCUACGGGUGAAAGCGGGGGACCGUAAGGCCUCGCGCUAUUGGAGCGGCCGAUGUCAGAGUAGGUUGUUGGUGGGGUAAAAGCCUACCAAGCCGACGAUCUGUAGCUGGUCUGAGAGGACGACCAGCCACACUGGGACUGAGACACGGCCCAGACUCCUACGGGAGACAGCAGUGGGGAAUUUUGGACAAUGGGGGCAACCCUGAUCCAGCCAUGCCGCGUGCGGGAAGAAGGCCUUCGGGUUGUAAACCGCUUUUGUCAGGGAAGAAACGCUCUGGGCUAAUACCCCGGGGUAAUGACGGUACCUGAAGAAUAAGCACCGGCUAACUACGUGCCAGCAGCCGCGGUAACAC